UGGCUCAGUUUCCUGGGGGUGUGCUCAGCCUACUCCACCUCCCCUCAGCUGAGCCUAGAGUAGAGGGGCCAGGUAUCCUUCCUCAUAGGAGAGGCAUUUAAAUAAGGAGCCUCGCCUGGCUGCUCUAGCCUUACAUUU
rnacentral:snoRNA from 1 species